GUUUUAACUAGGGUUUUGAAUCAAGCACAGCUGCUCUUUCUUUUGUGGUCUUCUGCUUUCAUCGAAGCUAUGUCCAUUUUUCUGAAACAAUUUUGUGGCAGAGAAAGCUCUCAGUUUCCAAUAGAAACUCUCUCCUUCGCAUCAUAGCAAUCGCUUCUGCCGGGUCGGGUCUUUUGUAUGCCAAUAGCAACUCAAAUUCCAGAGCAAAUGUAGCAGUGAAGGUUCCUGUGGCUCUGCAGGAAUCACUAUCGCUGCCAUGGCGAAUUACGCAAUACAUAUUUCCCUGCCCUUCGUUACUUUUAUCGGAUCCAUGGCAACCUGGAAUGCUUCCAUUAUUUUCUUCUAGAGUUGGUUCGGCUCCAUCAUCGGAUAUAAAGAAAGACAAUUCUUUGGGGGCAGUUGGAGGUGACCCCAAACCAUGUUGCAAUUGUUUGGGGAGAGAUACAAUUGCAAAUGCUGCCGCUAGGGUUGGUCCUGCUGUAGUAAAUCUUUCGGUUCCACAGGGGUUCUAUGGCAUUACUAAUGGAAAGAGUAUAGGGUCAGGAACUAUAAUUGAUCAGGAUGGUACAAUUUUAACAUGUGCUCAUGUUGUGGUUGAUUUUCAAGGCAUGAGGGGUUCAGUCAAAGGAAAGGUCAGUGUCUUUGGUGCUUUGUAUGUGUUGUCUCCCUUAGUAAUACAACUGUUCCAUAAACGAAAACCUAUAUACAACUUCUCCAUAAACCAGUAGGUCUUGCUUUCCUCAUGCUUCACAGA